GUGUCAGCAGCCGCGGUAAGACGUAGGAGGCGAGCGUUGUCCGGAGUUACUGGGCGUAAAGCGCGCGCAGGCGGCCCUGUGCGCUGCCGGUGAAAGCUCCCGGCUUACCUGGGAGAGGUUCGGCAGGACGGCAGGGCUGGAGGGUGGGAGAGGUCGGUGGAAUUCCCGGUGUAGUGGUGAAAUGCGUAGAGAUCGGGAGGAACACCCGUAGCGAAGGCGGCCGACUGGACCACACCUGACGCUGAGGCGCGAAGGCCAGGGGAGCGAACGGGAUUAGAAACCCCCGUAGUCC
rnacentral:rRNA from 1 species